UGUAAAAUCCAUGGGUUUCUCUGUGAGGUCAUAAUACAACAAUUGCAAAAUCAUGAGGAAGAAAUAACGAGUCAUUGUAAUGGGUGAGUUUCUGCAGCAGGGCAAAGAGGCACACACCUGUUGAGGUGACAAAUCAACUACAGAGGUUUUCUGCCUGCUGCAGACCUUAAUCUUGGAUAUUGUGAAGGGAGUGCCUCUUAAUACUAUUGCCUACUGCUACUCCAUGUCAUCACAAGUGAUAAAUGCCAGGGCAAACCUGGACAGGAUCAGAAGUAACUACAGAGCUCUGGGGGCAGUACUGAGGCGUAUGUGGGCUCAGGUUUGUGCUUUUCCAGACAGCACCACUUCCAUGGAGAAACUCUUCUAUGAAGUGGUUCUCUUCAAAUUCACCCUCAUUGAGCUGAAUUUUGAGAUGCUACAUCCAGAAUACCCUAAGUGCCAAAUUCAAACUCUACUGAGCUCCUAUAUGAAGACCAACAACAUACGACUAUGAAGCAGAAUGAAAGCUUUCAUUUCUACAGGAAUUUGGACAAGAACAGAGAAGCAUCAUUACUUUGUAUCCAAGCUGUACAAGAUGACGCAAAGACGUGCAGGAUGCCAGGGGGCAACCUGUUGAAUAGAAAUAAACUGUUCAAAUUGAAAUAGAGCUUGCUUGGAACGUUCAA